rnacentral:rRNA from 1 species
AUUGAACGCUAGCGGGAUGCUUUACACAUGCAAGUCGAACGGCAGCGCGGACUUCGGUCUGGCGGCGAGUGGCGAACGGGUGAGUAAUGUAUCGGAACGUGCCCAGUAGCGGGGGAUAACUACGCGAAAGCGUAGCUAAUACCGCAUACGCCCUACGGGGGAAAGCAGGGGAUCGUAAGACCUUGCACUAUUGGAGCGGCCGAUAUCGGAUUAGCUAGUUGGUGAGGUAACGGCUCACCAAGGCGACGAUCCGUAGCUGGUUUGAGAGGACGACCAGCCACACUGGGACUGAGACACGGCCCAGACUCCUACGGGAGGCAGCAGUGGGGAAUUUUGGACAAUGGGGGCAACCCUGAUCCAGCCAUCCCGCGUGUGCGGUGAAGGCCUUCGGGUUGUAAAGCACUUUUGGCAGGAAAGAAACGUCGCGGGCUAAUACCCCGUGGAACUGACGGUACCUGCAGAAUAAGCACCGGCUAACUACGUG